GAUGAACGCUGGCGGCGUGCCUUACACAUGCAAGUCGAGCGACCGGAUGAGAUGGCUGCCUCUCUGAUUUUAGCGGCGCACGCGUGAGUAACAUGCGGCUAACCUAGCUAUAUGGUUGGGAUAAACUCGGGAAACCGGAGCCUAUUACGGAAAACAUCCUGAACCUCAUGGUUCAAAAGUGAAAGACGUCCUUGCUGACACUUAUAGAUGGACUCGUGCUGUAUUAGCUAGUUGGUAAGGUAACGGCUUACCAAGGCAACGAUCCAUAGCCGAUCUGAGAGGAUGAUCAGCCACACUGGAACUGAGACACGGUCCAGACUCCUACGGGAGGCAGCAGUGGGGAAUCUUCCACAAUGGGCGAAAGCCUGACGGAGCAACGCCGCGUGUGUGAAGAAGGUCUUCGGGUCGUAAAACUCUGUUAUUAGGGAAGAAAAGGUGUGUGAGAAACUCUGCACUUGUUGACGGUACCUGAUCAAAAAGGCCCGGCUAACUACGUG
rnacentral:rRNA from 1 species